rnacentral:rRNA from 1 species
GACGAACGCUGGCGGCGUGCUUAACACAUGCAAGUCGAACGGAAAGGCCCUGCUCUUGUGGGGUGCUCGAGUGGCGAACGGGUGAGUAACACGUGAGUAACCUGUCCUUGACUUUGGGAGAACAUCAGGAAACUGGGGCUAAUAUCGGAUAGGAGCUCCUGCUGCACGGUGGGGGAUGGAAAGAUUCGGCGGUUGGGGCUGGAUUGGAGGCUUCUCGGCUUGUUGGUGGGGUAGUGGAUUACCACGUCUUCGACGGGUAGCCGGCCUGAGAGGUUGGCCGGCGUCAAUGCGCCUGCGGGACGCCCCAGACUCGUACGGGAGGCAGCAGUGGGGAGCAUUGCGCAGUGGGCGGAAGCCAGAUGCGACAACGCCGCGUGCGUAAUGCCGGCCUUCGGGUUGUGAACCGCUUUCGACGUAGCCGAAGCGGUAGUGACGGUAAUGGGUAAAGAAGCACCGGCUAACUACGUG